CAAUCAGCUUCUGACCAAACUGGGAAAUAAAAUACAGAAAAAGGAGCCAAUGGGGUCUAACACAUGAACCAUCUUACAGAUUUAACACCCAUAUCCAUAAAAAUGAAAUGUUGCCUGAGUCCCCGGCUGAAGGGAAGGACUACGUUUGGUCCCCGUCAAGUCCAGGAUGGCGGUGAUGACUAUAAAUAGCGGGCGUUUGCGAGGAAACUGCUGAGCCCGUACAAAGAGCGCCCGCACCUUGAAGGAAAUUCUUGCCCAGGAGGAUGCGUCUGUCAAGGCGGAACUGGCGGAACCGGUGGCGUCAGGGUCUCCCUGAAGAGCUGACCUCUUGGUUGACCCCCGUCCGUGCUGCGGUCGGAGCUGGAGGAGCUGCGGACGGGGACCCGGAGCGGGUGCCGCAGUGGUCACAGCGGGAAGCACACGGGCCAGCGAGUGCCUGUGGGGGGAGGCCGAGAGGCUCACUGCGCUCAGGGCUGCGGGUCCGAGCCAGGACCCUGUGCACCGAGGGGCGAGGGACAAGCCUCUGGGCCACGUUUCCACGGGAGACGGCAGCUGACGCCACUUUUUGGAUGUUUGGCUUCGUCGUCUUCCUAUUCUGUUAAACGCACACCCCUGAGUGACUGCUCUUUUCCCUGCAACAGUUUUUGUUGGAAAAACA